AUCUCCUUCAACUCUGACCUACUUUCACACUGAUCCCUGUUUCUUGGGCAUAUCUGUUUCUCAGAUUCAUAAAGCUGAUGGAAUGGGAUAUGAUUUUACAGGGAAUUUUCUUUUUGUAGUGCAUGGCACUUGUGUGUCAUUUGUUUAUCUUAUCUGAUCCAAUGACUGGCCCACGAAAUCAGAGACAACAAUUAUUGGAAAUUCCGCGGAGUCCUAACAAUGAGGCGCUCUGCUGAUGGAUGGACUCACAAUAUGCAAUCUGAGAUGAUACUUUGUGUUCACUUUAUAGAACAGGAUAAUAUCAAAAACAUUUUUGACCAGAGAGAUAUCUUGCUGCUUGAUUUCUGAAAGUUAAAGGACCAUGGUUUGGGAACAAGUUUGACAUCAAAUGCAGCUGUUUCUUUUGCUACAGCUUGACUGCAAACUCUAAUUUGAGGGGGGCUGGCAGCAGAGAAAUAUCACCAUAUAAACUAGAAAAGAACUGCAAUUAAGCAUAUGGACAAGAGAAUAGCGGAAACCAGACAUAAUACAAUAAGAAGGUAAAUGUUACAGAGAAAUAUCUCCAUAUAAACUACAAUUCAACACUUUCCGCCUUUAUUUUUAGCAAGGACGAAGAUAACUGAUGAUUUCUAAAUUCAACUGGAAUUCUUCUUUGCAGAUUAAACAGUGAAGAAAUAAAUGCUGGAGAUGCCCGGCAUUGCAUUCUCUGCUUUUUUUUUCCCCUUUCCUCCAAUUAUCAACUGCAGGAGAUGGCAUUAGCAAAACCUUCUCCGGUAAACACACGCCAUAUCACUUACUGUUUCAAAGUAUCACCGUUGUAAUGUACUAAUUGCUGGUUUUUUUAAUAGAGCAAGCUC